GAUGGCUUUGUGGUUUUGGACAGAAAAAAUGAAAUGCCAAUAGCAAGGAUGAAUUGGGAGGGUGUUUGAUGGCUCCUCAAUGUGACAGAAAAUGGAUGGAAAAUUCUGCAUCAAGCAAAGCCAUGUUAAGUUACUUGAUGUUCUUUUGGAGCAGGUCUUGAAAAGUGCAAGAAGAGGUUUUUGGAGAAUGAGUGUACAAUGGUUCUGUUGUGUGAUGGU
rnacentral:lncRNA from 1 species